CACUUUCUCAGCUUCAAUCCUAGUGUGUUUCAGAGCAGCAACCUACCCUUUGAUGGGCAAAGAGCAAACGAUAAAUCCUGGAGACUUAAAUAAACCUGCACGACCAACUCUUGAAAUGCUGUAGAAGCUAUCUGCAUGCCCAGCUGGAGCAUGAGCUCCUGGACAUUGAGAAACAGACAAAAAUAAAUCCAACCAACCAACCAACACUACAUUGAACACCUUUUUUGUUUUACUUCUACAGGCCUCAAGCUUCUAAACAAUGCCAACAACAGACAGUAUUAGGGACUGCAUGCACAUGGACUGAAGGCAGGCUUUAAAGAACUACAAAAAUCACAUUUCUGCUGUAUAAAUGGAAAAUAAAGACAAAGAGACUCACCGAAAUUCACAGAAGUCCAUGGAAGAGCACCAUGUUGCACCAAGCUCUAAAAGCAAGCUCUGCUUGUCUCCUGCAAUUGCCUGGCUUUAGAAACAGUUUUAUCUGAGCAGCCCGUCUGGACAAAGAGGAUUUGAUUGCAUUUGUGAUUCAAAGAUUGUCUUGUCAGCAGAAGGAACACGUGGCUGUGGCACUCCGUAAGUAGCCGAUACUGAAAACAUUGCUUGCUGAGGCCAUUACAGGGUUCGUUUAACAAUACGGCUAAUAAGCACCCACCACAAAGGCUGGGAACGUGUUCCAUGCAUCAUCUUUCUGGACAAACCAGAGAGAAGGCAAGCAUAUGCUUGAAUGCACGGCACCUAUAGUUUGCAGUUAAAUCAUUAGGCUGAAGUUCAUAAGAUCUGCAACAAUCCUGGCUCUGCCAUAACAUUUAUUUUAUAGAAGUAGACAAGUAGCAUUAAUGCUCUG
rnacentral:lncRNA from 1 species